rnacentral:ncRNA from 1 species
UAAACUCAAAGGAAUUGACGGGGYCMGCACAAGCAGCRGAGCAUGUGGUUUAAUUCGAAGCAACGCGAAGAACCUUACCUAGACUUGACAUCUCCUGAAUUACCCUUAACCGGGGAAGGCCCUUCGGGGCAGGAAGACAGGUGGUGCAUGGUUGUCGUCAGCUCGUGUCGUGAGAUGUUGGGUUAAGUCCCGCAACGAGCGCAACCCUUAUCAUUAGUUGCUACCAUUAAGUUGAGCACUCUAGUGAGACUGCCACGGUUAACGUGGAGGAAGGUGGGGAUGACGUCAAAUCAUCAUGCCCCUUAUGUCUAGGGCUACACACGUGCUACAAUGGUGAGUACAAAGAGAUGCAAUACCGUGAGGUGGAGCCAAACUCAAAAACUCAUCCCAGUUCGGAUUGUAGGCUGAAACUCGCCUACAUGAAGCCGGAGUUGCUAGUAAUCGCGAAUCAGCAUGUCGCGGUGAAUACGUUCCCGGGCCUUGUACACACCGCCCGUCACACCAUGAGAGCUGGUAACACCCGAAGUCCGUGAGGUAACCCGCAAGGGAGCCAGCGGCCGAAGGUGGGAUUAGUGAUUGGGGUGAAGUCGUAACAAGGUAGCCGUAGGAGAACCUGCGGCUGGAUCACCUCCUUU